rnacentral:rRNA from 1 species
GAUGAACGCUAGCUACAGGCUUAACACAUGCAAGUCGAGGGGCAGCAGGAGCAAAGCUUGCUUUGCUUGCUGGCGACCGGCGCACGGGUGCGUAACGCGUAUCGAACCUGCCCUAUACUCGGGGAUAGCCUUGCGAAAGUAAGAUUAAUACCCGAUGUUGUUAUUACAUCGCAUGAUGUUUUAACCAAAGAUUUAUCGGUAUAGGAUGGCGAUGCGUGACAUUAGGUAGUAGGUGAGGUAACGGCUCACCUAGCCUACGAUGUCUAGGGGUUCUGAGAGGAAGGUCCCCCACACUGGAACUGAGACACGGCCCAGACUCCUACGGGAGACAGCAGUUAGGAAUAUUCGUCAAUGGGCGUAAGCCUGAACCAGCCAAGUAGCGUGAAGGAUGACUGCCCUACGGGUUGUAAACUUCUUUUGUAUGGGAAUAAAGUUCAGUACGUGUACUGUUUUGUAUGUACCAUACGAAUAAGCAUCGGCUAAUUCCGUGCCAG